GACGAACGCUGGCGGCGUGCUUAACACAUGCAAGUCGAACGGAAAGGCCUUUUCGGAGGUACUCGAGUGGCGAACGGGUGAGUAACACGUGGGUGAUCUGCCCUGCACUCUGGGAUAAGCCUGGGAAACUGGGUCUAAUAACGGAUAGGACCGCACUUUAGUGUGUGUGGUGGAAAGUUUUUUCGGUGUAGGAUGAGCCCGCGGCCUAUCAGCUUGUUGGUGGGGUAAUGGCCUACCAAGGCGGCGACGGGUAGCCGGACUGAGAGGUUGGUCGGCCACAUUGGGACUGAGAUACGGCCCAGACUCCUACGGGAGGCAGCAGUGGGGAAUAUUGCACAAUGGGCGCAAGCCUGAUGCAGCGACGCCGCGUGGGGGAGGACGGCCUUCGGGUUGUAAGCUCCGUUCGCCAGGGACGAAGCGUUUUGUGACGGUACCUGGAGAAGAAGCACCGGCUAACUACGUG
rnacentral:rRNA from 1 species